CCUACAUCCCUACAGAGCCCAUUCCAUUGUUCAGUAUUACCUCUCUUCUUAAGUUUGUUAACACAAGAGACCAUUUGUGUGGAAUCUUUUAAUCAAUGGAUUGGGAUGUUUUAAUUUUGAUCUUUUAAUCUUUUAAUUUUGAUGAAGGUGUAAGCUGAGGUGUAUGAUAUGAUUGCCACAAAACAAGGUUUUAAUCAAAGUCUGGUUUGGUGUUUGAUAACAGGCUUAUGUACGGUGGUUGUAUCUUUCGGACCAAUCAAUGGACGGAAUACAUUCACUUGUAAUAUUGGAGAGUUUGGUCUCUAGUAGCAAAUGUUAUGCAAGGAGGCGAUAAUCUAGAACAGAGAAUGGGGGCAUGGUCUAGAAGAAGGAAACAGGAAGAACAAGAGCUUGAGAGAAUCAGCCCGUUUUUUGAACGAAGGCAGAAUGGAAGUGGUUGAAUGGCCUUCCUUGGGUGGAAUGGAAAAGGCAUUUGGUAAUAAUGUUCUGAGGCGGAUUGUUGAUUUUUUUGCGGGGCAGUUGAUAAUUGACUAUUCCGGGAAUGCUCCACGAACAGUAAAACAAGGAAGAAAAUGGAAAAGGACUUGCAGGAGAUCGGGUGACACAGUUUGGGGAGCAUGGGGCAUUCUUCCUACUGAACUUCUGGUGUCAAUUUUGGUUAAGUUAAGUAUUGUGGACUACCUGUCAUUUAGCCGUGUUUGUAAAUCUUGGAGGUCUGCAUCUAUUGCUUUCCGCAAAUACUGUAUGGAGCGCCAGAAACCCCUAGUUGUUGUUCGUCCAAAGCGUUCGAAAAAGUCUUGUGUAUUGUACAAUAUGUUCGAUAUGAAACGUUACAAAACAAUGCUGCCAGAUUUGCCUUGCAAGAAAUUAUUGGGUUUGUCAUGUGGGUACCUGAUUACAACCGAUGGAAACUUAGGCUUUUGGCUCGUAAAUAUAAUGACAAACAUGAGCUGCGUUUUCCCGUCCUUCCUGGACAUAUGGGUGGCAUAAACUGCUUUGAAUUUUCUGCUCUCCUAUUUCGGGCCACUCGGUUUUCAGAAACUUUCAUGAUUGUUCUCUCUCUGACAGAAAAUUAUAUAUUAUUGUCCAAAAGUGGUGGCAGCAGUUGGCAGAGAUAUGUCCA